CGCAUGCUUACUACACAGCCCCGGGGGUGGAGAGAUGCUAUGUAGUUAAACCCACUGGAUAAGCCACUCUCACACAGUGACAUACAGAUAAAACACAGCAAGCAGCAAGAGCACAGCCUCAAACCCACACACGCACACGCACACAGGACAGCAGCACCUCCACAGGAUUUUGCAGGCUGCCUGUAACUGCCGCACGCUGGAGGAAGCCAAGAGAGAAAGAAAGAGGAGACAAAGCACUUGGCAUAUGGAACCCAGCCAUGUGCGCAGCUGCAGAACGGGUGCUUGUCUGAAGCGGAGGCUGAAUACUGGCGCUGCAUGGAGCAGACUAACAAAGAUGCUGUCAGGGACUGAAACUGGACCCUAGAUGACCCUAGAUCCUGAAAUGCUG